AGGGUUUGAUCAUGGCUCAGAACGUACGCUGGCGGCACGCCUAACACAUGCAAGUCGAACGCAGUAGCAAUACUGAGUGGCAACCGGGUGAGUAUAAUGUGGGAAUCUGCCUUUUGGUUUGGAAUAACACGGGGAAACUUGUGCUAAUACCGAAUAAGCCUUCACAGGGAAAGUUUUAACGCCGAAAGAUGAGCCUGCACUUGAUUAGCUAGUUGGUAAGGUAAAAGCUUACCAAGGCAACGAUCAAUAGCUGUUCUUAGAGGAAGACCAGCCACAUUGGGACUGAGACACGGCCCAAACUCCUACGGGAGGCAGCAGUGGGGAAUCUUGCACAAUGGAGGAAACUCUGAUGCAGCGAUGCCGCGUGAGUGAAGAAGGCCUUUGGGUUGUAAAGCUCUUUCGUCGGGGAAGAAAAUGACUGUACCCGAAUAAGAAGGUCCGGCUAACUUCGUGCCAGCCGCCGCGGUAAUAC
rnacentral:rRNA from 1 species